CCCUCCGCCCGCCCGCCAGCUCCCCUGGGGCACCGGAGCUGCCCGGAGUGCCUCACAGUUCUCUCACAGUUAAUUACAUUAAUUAUUCCAUAGAAUCUCCUGAGCUGGAAGGGACCGACAGGGAUCAUCAGAGUCCCACUCCUGGCUCUGCACUGGACACCCCCAACAAUCCCACCAUGUGCCCGAGAGCGUUGUCCAAACGCUCCUUGAGCUGUAUCAGGCUUCCCUGGGAGCCCAACCACCCUCUGGGAGAAGAACCUUUUCCUAACAUCCAGCCUAAACUUCCCCUGGCACAGCUCCGGCUGUUCCCUCAGGUCCUGUCCCUGGUCACAGCUGCCCCUCUGCUGCCCCUCGUGAGGAAGCUGCAGACCCCGAUGAGGUCUGACCUCGGUCUCUUCCGGGCUGCACUGGAUUGGGAUUGUUGUUACAGGUUUAUUAUUAGAAACCCAAGCACACUAAAGACCCCAAACCUGGCGAUGAGAUGACAAUAAACUGCUUUGUAUGAGGACAGCACCAACAGCUCAGGAGGCUGCUUUGAAGGUUGCUCAAGUACAAGAGGCCUUGUCACGUCACUCUCCCCUAAAGGAGGAGAUAAAAAAUGCAUUACCAGCCACAUAAGGAUUAUCCACGUGUCACUGUCACCCCCUUGCUGGGCUUGCUCACACUCAAGCAGUACAUCCCUUCCUCAGCUGGGUUCCCAACCCAUAACCCUGGUGUGUGAUAUGGGCACUGGGAAGGCAGCAGUGCUCCUAUAAAAGCAUCACUGUUGCUUUUCUCUUGGACUCAGCCUGUUCCUAGGCUCAAAGCAGCAACACUCUAAUCUGCACAUCGUGGUUCUGUUAUUUUGUCCAUGUUUUUCAGGGCAGGAUGUGUCUUCAUCUCUAUUUAAGCAAUUCAAAGCUGCUGGUACCCAGAACUGAUGUUCUGGAUGCAGCUGUGGAAGAGGAAAUCAGCACUGGGACAAAUGGUGGCCUCGCCACUGUAACUUUCCUUCUUUCUGUUACUCCCAGGGGUGGCUGGGCUGCUGUGACAGUGGAAACACUCAGGAAUUUCAACCCUUCUGUUUUCCUCUUUCACUUCCCGAAGUCCACAUCUGUACUGUGCAACCUUCUGCCUCACUCCCACGGUCUGUAACUCAACAUGUCACGACAGGUGACACUGUCCCUGGGGCUGGCAGGGGCACAGGGUGAGCACAGGGAUGUGAACAGGCACCUCUGGGAUUGGCGGGGGCAGGCCACAGCCACGGGGAGGGCAGGGGGUCAGCCCGGGCAGGAUCAUGGCGGUGGGCACCUUGUCCUGCAGCUGCCACGGGUGUGGGGAGCGCCCUUUGUAGGAUGACACUGCUCCCUUGGGUGCCAACCAGACCCGAUCAAUACCGACCCGGCCCAACCAGUGCCCACCUGACCAGGACCUACCAGUACCGACCCGAUCAAUACUGACUCAAAAGGACCCGACCUGACCAGUACUGACCAGUACUGACCAGUACCAACCAGUACCAACCUGACAGGUCCCCCCCAGCUCAGCAUGGCUCAGACCGUGCCAAUCCGACCCACUAGAGUCCAUCAUGAAAGAGCACAUCCCAGUCUCCACGACCACUGACAGAUCCAACACUGAAUAUAUCUUUGAUGGUAUCUGGCCAUAACACUUGUUGCUAAAAAUGUUGCAAUGACUGAGCAGGAAAGAUACCUUCUUCAGAAAAUGGAAACAGCUGGAUGUCGUGCACAGAAAUAAAUUAGUUGUCUGUGGGUAUAA